UACGUAGGUGGCAAGCGUUGUCCGGAAUUACUGGGCGUAAAGAGUAUGUAGGCGGAUAUUUAAGUCAGAUGUGAAAUCCCCGGGCUUAACCUGGGAGCUGCAUUUGAAACUGGAUAUCUAGAGUGCAGGAGAGGAAAGUGGAAUUCCUAGUGUAGCGGUGAAAUGCGUAGAGAUUAGGAAGAACACCAGUGGCGAAGGCGACUUUCUGGACUGUAACUGACGCUGAGAUACGAAAGCGUGGGUAGCAAACAGG
rnacentral:rRNA from 1 species